UUUUUUUUUUUUUAUUAAUAUAAAUGCAAUUCUUGUGGGUUGUUUGUGGCAGCUCAGAGCUUUUUCCUUCCAGCUUCUUCUCUGCAUCUUGUUUUCUAUUUCUUGGGUUUUGGUUUUGGUAUAUACUUUCCCAGCCAUGGGCUUGGCUGAGUCCAUAGAUACCAUUCUCCAUGGAACAACCUCUUUUUGUUGCCCCAUUUUCACCUUUUCAACUGGUGAAA
rnacentral:misc_RNA from 1 species